CCUACGUGGGGCUGCAGUGGGGAAUAUUGGACAAUGGGCGAAAGCCUGAUCCAGCCAUGCCGCGUGUGUGAAGAAGGCCUUCGGGUUGUAAAGCACUUUCAGUGGGGAAGAAAGCCUUGGGGCUAAUACCCUCGAGGAAGGACAUCACCCACAGAAGAAGCACCGGCUAACUCCGUGCCAGCAGCCGCGGUAAUACGGAGGGUGCGAGCGUGAAUCGGAAUUACUGGGCGUAAAGCGCGCGUAGGCGGUCUGAUAAGCCGGUUGUGAAAGCCCCGGGCUCAACCUGGGAACGGCAUCGGAACUGUCAGGCUAGAGUGCAGGAGAGGAAGGUAGAAUUCCCGGUGUAGCGGUGAAAUGCGUAGAGAUCGGGAGGAAUACCAGUGGCGAAGGCGGCCUUCUGGACUGACACUGACGCUGAGGUGCGAAAGCGUGGGUAGCAAACAGGAUUAGAUACCCCGGUAGUC
rnacentral:rRNA from 1 species